GACCAGUUGUGUUUAUGUUCUGC
rnacentral:siRNA from 1 species